rnacentral:rRNA from 1 species
AACGAACGCUGGCGGCAUGCCUAACACAUGCAAGUCGAACGAGACCUUCGGGUCUAGUGGCGCACGGGUUCGUCACGCGUGGGAACCUGCCCUUAGGUUCGGCAUAACUCCCCGAAAGGGGUGCUAAUACCGGAUAAUGUCUUCUGACCAAAGAUUUAUUGCCUUUGGGUGGGCCCGCGUUGGCUUAGCUAGUUGGUAGGGUAAAAGCCUACCAAGGCGACGAUCCAUAGCUGGUAUGAGAGGAUGAUCAGCAACACUGGGACUGAGACCCGGCCCAGACUCCUCCGGGAGGCAGCAGGGGGGAAUAUGGGACAAUGGGCGAAAGCCGGAGCCAGCAAGGCCGCGUGAGUGAUGAAGGCCUUAGGGUUGUAAAGCUAUUUUACCCGGGAUGAUAAUGACAGAACCGGGAGAAUAAGCUCCGGCUAACUCCGU